UAAUAAUCAAAUAAUCAUUAAAAAAACGGCCAAGUAAUCACAUAAUCAAAAACCCCAUGAGGGCCCUCACUUGCUUGCUUGAAGGAAUUUGGGCACUUUGGCCUCCAACAUAGUCAUAAAAGGGAAGUAACUCUUGCUUAAUUUGUGUCAACUGAAACCUAUCUUUUUACAUAAACUUGAUUGUGGAUGAAUGAAACUAUAGAUGGCACUGUGGUUAGGUGUAGAAUAUUUAUAAACUGAUGAACUAGGCAGAUAUUUGUUUACAACUUUUUGAUAUUCAACAAAUAAUCGGAUUUAUGAGUUAAUUCCCUUCUACUCUGACAAUAACUAUAGCAACUUUUACUAACUUGCACAAUUUAACACAAAUUCCGGAUUCCCAACAAUAAAUGAAUAGGUUUAUAUAAUCUUGACACCUAAUUGUGUUGCUUGUGGUGUUAGGAUGAUACUUAUUAUGAAAAUGUGAAAAAUGGCAUUGUUAAUCUAAGAUGGUCACUUAGCAUAGAUUUUAAGACAAACAAGAUUUGAGCCAAGGUCUUAGCCACAAUUUUAAAUUCUCAAAUAAGAUAAGAUAUCCUUAAAUAAUUACAUUAGAUGUAUGUUUCAUUAUGAUAUGUUUUUCUGAUUGGCUACACUACAAUCUCGCAUUAUUCCUUAGUCAAUUUCAUUACACAAUAAAAUGUAUCCUUCAUGUUGACACUAGGUCACACAAUAAAGUGCACAGGUAAAUCAAAUAAAAACUUGAUAAAAACCAUGUUUUCAUGAUCCUAGCUCAAAA
rnacentral:lncRNA from 1 species